rnacentral:rRNA from 1 species
CGAGGCUGAGGGGGCAACUCCUCAGUUUAGUGGCGGACGGGUGAGUAACACGUGGGUAACCUGCCCGGAAGUGGGGAAUACCUCGGGGAAACUCGAGCUAAUACCGCAUGACAUCUUUGGGACGAAAGUCCUGACGAUCAAAGCGGGGUCGCAAGAUCUCGCGCUACCGGAUGGGCCCGCGCCCGAUUAGCUAGUUGGUGAGGUAACGGCUCACCAAGGCUUCGAUCGGUAACCGGCCUGAGAGGGCGAUCGGUCACACCGGAACUGAGACACGGUCCGGACUCCUACGGGAGGCAGCAGUGGGGAAUCUUGCGCAAUGGGCGAAAGCCUGACGCAGCAACGCCGCGUGGAGGAUGAAGGCCCUUGGGUUGUAAACUCCUGUCGGUUGGGAAGAAAUCGUUCGGGGCUCAUACCUCCGAACGUUGACUGUACCAGCAAAGGAAGCCCCGGCUAACUCUGUGCCAGCAGCCGCGGUAAUACAGAGGGGGCUAGCGUUAUUCGGAAUUAUUGGGCGUAAAGGGCGCGUAGGCGGCCCAGCGUGUCUUCCGUGAAAUCCCUCGGCUCAACUGAGGACGUGCGGAAGAAACUGCAGGGCUCGAGUCCGGGAGAGGGGGGUGGAAUUCCCAGUGUAGCGGUGAAAUGCGUAGAUAUUGGGAGGAACACCGGUGGCGAAGGCGGCCCCCUGGACCGGUACUGACGCUGAGGCGCGAAAGCGUGGGUAGCAAACGGGAUUAGAUACCCCGGUAGUCCACGCC